rnacentral:sRNA from 1 species
GCUGGGCCUGGUGGCACAUACCUGUAAUCCUAGCAGCUUGGGAGGCUGAGGCAGGAGGAUCUUGAGUUCAAAGCCAGCCUUAGCAAUAGCGAGGUGCUAAGCAACUCAGUGAGACCCUGCCUCUA